rnacentral:ncRNA from 1 species
UCCCCCCCUCCUUCCGCCUCAGGGGAGGGCUCCUCACAGUCUUUCACAGCUGCAUCGGGGGGUCCUUUCUCACGGGAGCGUCCUUCUCAAGAACUGCCUCGGCGGGAGUCCUUUUCCACGCGGGCCCACAGUCCCUUGACGACUGCGUGGCUUCGGCAUGGGCUUCUCCGUAAUUCCUACGUGGGGUCAUCCAUGGCUGCAUCUUCUCAUGGGCUGCACAAAGGGACAAACCGUGCAUCACCAUGAACCUUGGUGGUACUCCUAUCCCCACUCCCCCCCAUCUGUUUACUAAACACUUGGAGCCAGGGAGGGGGAGGGGGGAAGGUGAAACCUUAGCAGUCACUUACAGGAGCCUCCCCUGUAGCCCCUCCCUUGCUACCAGAAGAGCUGGAGUCCAGGGAAACCUUUAGCAGCUACUUACAGGAGCCAUUACUGUGGCCCCUCCCUGCUACCAGACAAAACCCACCACACAAAACCACAACAGUUGUGCAACUGAAGGGGUGGUUUUAACAUCUCAGUGUACCAAAUAAACUUUCCAUCUGUAUCUCAGUUGGAAAUCAGGCCUGUUCCCUUGGCUGUGGCUUCACUGGCUAGUGGGUGGGGAGCAACAACAUUUUAGGGGCUCAUACCAGUAUGCGUUUGUAUCAAAUUGACAAUCUGGCCAACUAUGACAAUGGUGGAUGGGCCACCCUUACUUAACCCAGAAAAGGAACAUAUAUAAUUUAUAUGUGUUUGAUAAAUCACCAAAUGCCUUGUCAUCUAAUUAGUGAUGUGCCUGAAUGGAUGAACGAGAUUCCCACUGUCCCUACCUACUAUCCAGCGAAACCACAGCCAAGGGAAUGGGCUUGGUGGUAUCAGCAGGGAAAGAAGACCCUGUUGAGCUUGACUCUAGUCUGGUGCUGUGAAGAGACAUGAGGUGUAGAAUAAGUGGGAGGCCAGGCACGCGCUCGGCGGUGCGGGGCGACCUGCCCGUCGGCGUCCCGGCCGCCGGUGAAA